UUUGCUUCUCGGCCUAUCGGCUCAGACCAAGUGUAGUUUCUGUUCUUAUCAUCUUUAAUAUCUGAUAUGCCUUUUACUUAAGGACCCUAUAUUAAACUGAGUUUUGGUGCAGGGAGUUGGCAUCAGAGCUUGCUCCGUCCACCCUGUGCAUCGUCCAGGUAUUGCAGUGUUUCCAGGAAUGGAAGGGGGGUU